AUAUAAAAUGCUGUAAUUGAAUGCCCAAAAGUUGCCUCUCCAUAUGUGUUGGCGGCAUUUUGUAUAAAUCAACCAAUUUUACUCUGCUUCAAGAAUUUAUAAACAGCCAACUGUCAAUGGACUCAAAGUCCGGGUUUUCUGAAAAAAUAGGACAACUAACCUUUAAUUGUUUCUGCACAAAAAUGGUGUGGAGCAUUGUCUUGAUUUGCUAUGCCCUCGGGGUUUGUUAAUUUGUUCUGCUUUAUAAACAGGGGGACAAUUAAAGUUAAGGUGAGUGUGGUAUAUACUGUACCGGUAGUUAAUUAGUGGUCACGUUUCAAUUUAAAUCUUCAACCAACUAUAAAUAUCUUUUACUCUUUUGGUACUGUCUACACGCUUCCUAAAAUAUUACAAAACACAUUCAAUACUAGUAACAGCAAUACUGGUACAGUGUUUGGAACCAAAUGUGUUUUAAUGCUGCAAAUUCCUAACGUUGAACUUCGAAUUAAUUGCGCAAAAAACUUCACCUGAUGUCGAACUGGGUCAGGUGCGUCAAUCAUUCUGUGCGCUUUAGCUGUGGAUUUGCGUUGUUUUUGAAGAAGGCAGGUUUAAAAUGCAAGUCAAAAACGUUGGGAUGAGCGGACAUGUACUGGUAUACACGUGGAAUGCUAAUCUGGAAACCGAAGGCUAUUUUAUGGACCCACACAGAUUAAUUUUCACAGAUCUUGAACAAAUAACUGGGACAUGACUUGGCCUCAGCCUGCAGUAGCCGAGUCCUUUGGCUGACUGAACAACGCUGGAGCAGCUAAGAUGUUUUUUUAUUACUAUGGAAGCAACAGCUUCCUUUCUGACUCUGGAAGAUGCCACAAAAAUACCUUUUAUUUUAUUUUAAUUUUUCUUAUUUUUUUAAAGCUUACAAAGACUGAAGUAAAUAUUUUGCUACAAUAUAUUUAAAGUGUUCCAUUACCGUUUCAAAUUAGACCUCCGAUAGUUCAGAUAUUACGUUUAAUGAAAGUGUAUUUAGCUAGUGUUCUUCGUUAAUUAGGCAGCAUCGUGCAAUUUGCCACAAUGGUAGAUCCACAGAUAUUUUAAAGGCUAGGUGCCUGAUAUCAGUUACUGAAGUUCCUCAGAGGGAUGUUCCAUACCAUUCUGCCUUAGUAACAGACUGUAUGCUUUUAAUAGGAUGUACGCUUGUAUCGUUGGACCUUGAUUUAUAUUGACCAUUCAACUGUAGAAUAUUAUAAUGCUGCCUAGCACUUAGCAUCUACGUCUAAACCUGCACUAUCAGUCAUAAAUUGAAUAUAUAUAGCAUUUUAUAAUAUAAAUAUUAAAUAUUUUACUUUUUUCCCCCUUUUUAUGAGCACUGAUUUAGAACCAUGAUUGGACUGUUGAAAGCAGACUUGUAACUUUUGACCAAAGUCUCCAGAAGCUUGUUACUUCAAUGGAUUUCACAAGCAAACCUGUACAAUCUUUUACUGCUGCUAUAUUGUGUAUCUUGACAAAAAUAAAAUGUGCCUGCUCUGUCACCUCAAUCACA